GUCCAAGGCCCCGAACCCCUCGGAUCCCUCGGCCCCCCCGGACACUCAGGUGACCGUGCAGCUCUUCGACUCGGAGCCGCUGGCGCUGACGGUUCCUGGGCACAUCCCGUGGGAUGAUCCCAGAUUCAUGGAGAUGGUGGCCGAGCAGGCGCUCCGGCACUACAAGGAGAACGCCAUAGAGUAGCCGGGAGAUCCCGGAGCUCCGCAGCCCUUCCAGCCCCAUUCCAAGCGGGAAUUGUCGCCGUUGCUGUGCCUUCCCCCCUCCCUCCCUCUCCCUCCUGCUGCCGGGAAUCCCCUCCCGGGGGUCCCCAACCGGGCAAUAAAGGUAGAGUUGGAUCCUUG